GUAGACAUGAUCAGUGUAGAGAGAGAGUACGUCAGUGUAACAGUGUUUUAUUUUUGCGUAUUAGCUGGGAGAGAGAGUCAUAUAGUGUUCCGAAGAACGCCAUGGCGAGGGAACACGACAUCAUCGGCGCGGCUGUCAAUGGCAUCAAGGGGUACGGGGCGUUGGAUGAGGAGGUUGAUCUGGACCAGUUCGAAACGUGAGUAAAAAUUCCCAAACUGUUAAUGAAAAGAAGA